UACGAAGGGUGCAAGCGUUAAUCGGAAUUACUGGGCGUAAAGCGUGCGCAGGCGGUGAUGUAAGACAGAUGUGAAAUCCCCGGGCUCAACCUGGGAACUGCAUUUGUGACUGCAUCGCUAGAGUACGGCAGAGGGGGAUGGAAUUCCGCGUGUAGCAGUGAAAUGCGUAGAUAUGCGGAGGAACACCGAUGGCGAAGGCAAUCCCCUGGGCCUGUACUGACGCUCAUGCACGAAAGCGUGGGGAGCAAACAGGAAUUGAG
rnacentral:rRNA from 1 species